UACAGAGGGUGCAAGCGUUAAUCGGAAUUACUGGGCGUAAAGCGUGCGUAGACGGUAGCGUAAGUCGGGUGUGAAAGCCCCGGGCUCAACCUGGGAAUUGCAUUCGAGACUGCUCUGCUAGGGUGCGGAAGAGGGAAGCGGAAUUUCCGGUGUAGCAGUGAAAUGCGUAGAUAUCGGAAGGAACACCAGUGGCGAAAGCGGCUUCCUGGUCCAGCACCGACGUUCAGGCACGAAAGCGUGGGGAGCAAACAGG
rnacentral:rRNA from 1 species